rnacentral:rRNA from 1 species
GACGAACGCUGGCGGCGUGCUUAACACAUGCAAGUCGAACGGUGAAGCCCUUCGGGGUGGAUCAGUGGCGAACGGGAGAGUAACACGUGAGCAACCUGCCCCUGACUCUGGGAUAACUACCGGAAACGGUGGCUAAUACCGGAUAUUACUUGCCUGGGCAUCUGGGUGGGUGGAAAGUUUUUCGGUUGGGGAUGGGCUCGCGGCCUAUCAGCUUGUUGGUGGGGUGAUGGCCUACCAAGGCGACGACGGGUAGCCGGCCUGAGAGGGCGACCGGCCACACUGGGACUGAGACACGGCCCAGACUCCUACGGGAGGCAGCAGUGGGGAAUAUUGCGCAAUGGGCGAAAGCCUGACGCAGCGACGCCGCGUGGGGGAUGAAGGCCUUCGGGUUGUAAACCUCUUUCAGCAGGGAAGAAGCGUGAGUGACGGUACCUGCGGAAGAAGCACCGGCUAACUACGUGCCAGCAGCCGCCGUAA